GUGCUCGCUUCAGCAGCACAUAUACUAAAACUGGAACGAUACAGAGAAGAUUAGCCUGUCCCUGCGCAAGGAUGACACGCAAAUUCGUGAAGUGUUUCAUAUUAGA
ensembl:snRNA U6 U6 spliceosomal RNA